GAUGAACGCUGGCGGCGUGCCUAAUACAUGCAAGUCGAGCGAACGGACGAGAAGCUUGCUUCUCUGAUGUUAGCGGCGGACGGGUGAGUAACACGUGGAUAACCUACCUAUAAGACUGGGAUAACUUCGGGAAACCGGAGCUAAUACCGGAUAAUAUUUUGAACCGCAUGGUUCAAAAGUGAAAGACGGUCUUGCUGUCACUUAUAGAUGGAUCCGCGCUGCAUUAGCUAGUUGGUAAGGUAACGGCUUGCCAAGGCAACGAUGCAUAGCCGACCUGAGAGGGUGAUCGGCCACACUGGAACGGAGACCCGGUCCAGACUCCGACGGGAGGCGGCAGUAGGGAAUUUUCCGAAAGGGGCGAAAGCCUGACGGAGCAACGCCGCGUGAGUGAUGAAGGUCUUCGGAUCGUAAAACUCUGUUAUUAGGGAAAAACAUAUGUGUAAGUAACUGUGCACAUCUUGAGGGUACCUAAUCAGAAAGCCACGGCUAACUACG
rnacentral:rRNA from 1 species